AUAAUAUCAAGAAAUAUCUGUUCUCAUUUGAGUGCAUGUGUCUCUGCAAAAUUCAUAUGUUGGAACUUAAAGCCCAGGGUGAUGGUAUUAAGAGGUGGUAGAAAGGCAUUUGGGAAUGGAUUACAUCAUAAAGGCUCUACCCUGAUUAAUGGGAUUAUGGAACAGGCUUCAAAGAGCUACCUGGAACUUCCAUCACUUCUACCAUGUGAAGAUAAACAUGAAUCUCUUUUUUCCCUUAUAUUUCUUCUGCCAUGUGAGAACACAGUAUUUGUCUUUUCCACCUUUCCAUGAUGUGAGGACACCCCAAGAAUGUCCCCUAAAGACAGGAAACAAGACAUGGAAUCUUCUGGCACCAUGAUCUUGGACUUCAUAGCCUCCAAAAUGGAACCUAAGACCAGUUUGCUACAAGAAUACAAUUGGUAUUCCCCACAGUCACCCUCACAAGGGACACUUACAAAGCACACUCCAAUCUCAGCCAUUACUGACUGACAAGAGCCUGCCUGUCUGAAGCCUGCAGGCCCGAGAAGCUUCUUUCUCCCUUCUCUUGGCUAUUAGUCACAGCUGGUAAGGCUCACAGGAACCGAGACUGUUUGAAAACAGUUGGAUCACGAAAACGUUUGAGUCUUUCUGCUGCAAGCAACAAACUUGGCCCAGGCUGCCACAAGGAGAUGGAGUGGGAGUGGGGGUGGCGAUGGGAUGCACCAGGAACGAAGGAAGAAAGGGAAAUUGCUAACCACCUCACUUCAAAAUCUUCUCUGAGGGAGCCCGUGCGAUAUCUAAAAGAUGUAAUGUCUCUUCAACGGUGAAGCGCUGAUGGUUGAACACUAAAGAAU
rnacentral:lncRNA from 1 species